rnacentral:rRNA from 1 species
UUCGCAAUGCCCGAAAGGGUGACGAAGCGACGCCGCGUGUGGGAAGAAGGCCUUCGGGUUGUAAACCACUGUUGGGAGUUAGGAAGUGUGGAGGUGUUAAUAGCGCUUUCACUUGACUAAAGCUCCAGAGGAAGCCACGGCUAACUCUGUGCCAGCAGCCGCGGUAAUACAGAGGCGGCAAGCGUUGUUCGGAAUUAUUGGGCGUAAAGAGCACGUAGGCGGCUCUGCAAGUCAGCUGUGAAAGCCUUCUGCUUAACGGAAGAACGGCAGUUGAAACUACAGGGCUAGAGUGCGGGAGGGGAGAGUGGAACUUCUGGUGGAGCGGUGAAAUGCGUAGAUAUCAGAAGGAACGCCGGCGGCGAAAGCGGCUCUCUGGUCCGUAACUGACGCUGAGUGUGCGAAAGCUAGGGGAGCAAACGGGAUUAGAUACCCCGGUAGUCCUAGCCGUAAACGAUGGGCACUAAGUAGAG